rnacentral:rRNA from 1 species
GACGAACGCUGGCGGCGUGCUUAACACAUGCCAGUCGAACGGAAAGGCCCUGCUUUUGUGGGGUGCUCGAGUGGCGAACGGGUGAGUAACACGUGAGUAACCUGCCCUUGACUUUGGGAUAACUUCAGGAAACUGGGGCUAAUACCGGAUAGGAGCUCCUGCUGCAUGGUGGGGGUUGGAAAGUUUCGGCGGUUGGGGAUGGACUCGCGGCUUAUCAGCUUGUUGGUGGGGUAGUGGCUUACCAAGGCUUUGACGGGUAGCCGGCCUGAGAGGGUGACCGGCCACAUUGGGACUGAGAUACGGCCCAGACUCCUACGGGAGGAAGCAGUGGGGAAUAUUGCACAAUGGGCGGAAGCCUGAUGCAGCAACGCCGCGUGCGGGAUGACGGCCUUCGGGUUGUAAACCGCUUUCGCCUGUGACGAAGCGUGAGUGACGGUAAUGGGUAAAGAAGCACCGGCUAACUACGU